CAAGCCUCUGUGUCGUCUCAUCUCUUAUUCUUCUCAAUCUUCACUUUCACCACCGUCGUUUUCACUCUUUAUCUCUCUUAGGUGUAAGUGAGAGAUGAGCAGCUGCUGCGGCUGUCAAUUUUGAAUUAAGAGAAAUCAGAGAUUUCGAUUUGUAAAAGCGUGAUCUGAGAGAUGAUGAUGAAUUCAAGAUGGGUUAUGUCGAAUUUGUUUCUACAACAAGAAUUGGAGAUGUUCAUGGGAAGUGGUUUUGAUGGGUGAUAUUUCUGGGUUGAUUUGGAUUCAACAGAAAAGAACAUCAUGGAGCUUUUUCGUGCUGAAACCAUACUGCUUAAGGUAACCCUAUUUAAAUUGGUUUUGGUUUUUGAAAUUUCGGUGUUAUUUUUUGUUUGUCACAUGAUUUAGAGUCCGCGAGGUGGAGAGGAGCUUUGGUGUGAUUCGAAUUUGGUUUUGGCAGCAAGAUGAUACAAGUUAAAAUGAAGUUGAGCAUAAAUUUUGUCUGCCGGAGAACCACGAAAUACUGAAUAAUUUUAAUUAUGAGAAUCCCUUGGUAUUCAUUGAUUUUUAACUAUAACUCUAUACUUUAAUGCAAUAAUUGAAUGAAUUAAAUAAUUAAGCAUUUACUGGAGAUUAGGACAUGAUUUAGAGUCCGUUAGGUAGUGAUAGGCUUGGGUGUUAUUCGAAUUUGGUUUUGGCAGAAAGAUGAUACAACUUACAAGUUGAUAUGAAGUUGGAAAUAAAAUUUUUCUACUGGAGAACCAUGAAUUAUUGAAUACCAUUGUUAAGUGGAUCAGAUUUCGUGUUAACUGAUGUGCAACCUCUGUAGAUGAGAUUCUUAGUAUCGGUCUGAUUGAUACUGGAAAUGCAUUAUGCUUUCAUUAUAAAAGAAUAUCGGAUUGGAGUGCAACUAAUUCCUGUUCCAUGCCAUAGCACCAGCAACUUCACUUUAAGCAUUGGUGCUCUAGAUCGGGCAUACAACCGUGCAAAUAAGCAAGGACUACAGGUUCGCGGAGUUCUCUUUCCUAAUCCUGCAAAUCCAGUUGGUAUGAGUCAGGAAAUUAUAGACAGCUUAGUAGAAUUUUGCAGGAGAAAAACAUCCACAUCAUUUGGGAUUAAAUAUUUAUGGGUCAACAUAUGGAGAUGAGGAGUUCGUCAGCAUGGUCGAGGUUCUUGAUUCAAUGGAUUUUGAUAAUAGUAAGGCUUGAGGAUGAUCGGGAUCAUUAUGGAAACAAGAAGAUGGACCUUGCUGGUCCUUUACUUGGAGGCCUAUUCUGGAAUCUGUUUAGGAAGUUAACAAGGGAUGUCAGGGGUUAUGUUCAGAGGUGGGUUGAUAAUUGUAAGUUGUUGUUUUCGAUUGAAUGAGGAGUUUAAUGGGUUGAGGUGGUGUUAACUGUUGUCAUUAGUUAGAGGACAUGAUAUGCGUAGGAGUCAGAGUUGUAUUUGGCAGAGAGAAUGCUCGAGAUUGCAGCCGAGAGUUCUGCGGGGAGAAUGAGAUAUAGGAACAAAUGGCGUAAUUGAAGUAUGCAACUGGAAUGGGUGCAGAUGUAGAUGUCGUGUAUUUUUAUGAAUGGUUUGAAUGGCGUUGUGAAUAAUGGGUUAGUGGUUUAUUUAGUGAACUGAUUUAGAUGAAUGUUAGGUUCCACAGGUCAAGAAAUGGUGAGUUCAGAUGAGUUGACCUUGAAGGGUUUUGAUGAAUUUCAAGUAAAGAUGUAAAUACAGUCUUGAGAUGAGAUAAGAAGCCACAGAGAGUGUUACUAUGUUGCAGUGUGGUUAUAUAUAGGGUUCUGCAGGUCUGAGUAUGGCAAUGAUAUUGAUGGUUGUGCUGUUACAAGGUAGAGAAGACAAUAGUCUUGAGUUUGUUAUGAAGCUGAGGUGGAUGGCAGAUUGGAAUUGAGAUGUGUUGUUAAUGAGGGAGUGAGUAGCAGUGCAACUGGUAGACAGUGGAGGGAUGGCAAUGGAAAAGGAUUUACGGUUACUGUUGCAAAGAUGAGUCUAUGGUGGUUAUGUAGCUGAUUGUAGUGUUGAAACGAAUGGGUAUUGCAGCUGAGGAGUUGGCGGUUACUGUCAUUACUAUGUGCAUUGUUUUGAAAUGAAAUUACACGGAAAGAAAUCUUUGAAGAUUAAGAUCACUGGUGAUUGAACCUACAGAAUGAGCUUAGAUAUUUUCAUUUCUGGAAAAGUUAUGCACUGACAGUUCCACAGAACUGACAGGCCUAAAUCAUUCAGAUUACUCAGUUGACUCCCUGACUCAGUUGUUAUGACUCGGUGACUAACUCACCAUAGACCUUGACUGAAUUGACUCAGUUGACCGGUGAUCGGCUCCAGAAACCCGUGUGCCUACAGUACUUCUAUGCCCCGAAUAUAAUAUUUGCGUAAAUGAUGGUGGAUGGUUUUCGGUUCUGCCCGGAGUGUAGCACGGGCACAAGUUAGGUUAACUAAUCGUUUUUAUACUGCAUCUGAUGCAUUUGCAUUAUUGACAUCUACAUGCAGUGAUAAUUGGAAACGAAAAUUUAAUUGAGGACUUAUUAAAUCAAUGUUCCUAAACUUAUCAAUUUUCAUCUUGUCGAGAAGAAAAAAAACUUAGUUGCAGGGUCUAACAAAAAAAUGACAAAUUAUUUUUUUAGAUUACUAGGUAUCUCAAAGGCCUUACGGCCCCGGCUCAACCUCUCAUUAGCAUUAAGCGUCACGUAAUCAUCGG